GAUGAACGCUGGCGGCGUGCCUAAUUACAUGCAAGUCGAGCGAGGUAGCUUGCUACCUAGCGGCGAACGGGUGAGUAACACGUUGGUAAAUCUACCUUUCAGUUGGGGAUACCCAGAGGAAACUUUGGCUAAUACCGUAAUACGUAAUAAGGUGAAAUUCCUUAUUAUAAAAGGCCCUUUUGGGUCGCUGAUAGAUGAGCCUGCGUCUGAUUAGCUAGUUGGUGAGAUAAUAGCCCACCAAGGCGAGGAUCAGUAGCCGAUCUGAGAGGAUGAACGGCCACAAUGGAACUGAGACACGGUCCAUACUCCUACGGGAGGCAGCAGUAGGGAGUUUUCGACAAUGGGGGCAACCCUGAUCGAGCAACGCCGCGUGUGUGAUGAAGGUCUUCGGAUUGUAAAAGCACUUUUAUAAGGGAUAAAUGGUAUUGAUAGUGGAAAGAUUAAUAUUUGAUAGUACCUUAUGAAUAAGUAACGACUAAACUUCGU
rnacentral:rRNA from 1 species